rnacentral:rRNA from 1 species
AUUGAACGCUGGCGGCAGGCCUAACACAUGCAAGUCGAGCGAGCGGCGGACGGGUGAGUAAUGUCUGGGAAACUGCCUGCUGGAGGGGGAUAACUACUGGAAACGGUAGCUAAUACCGCAUACCAUCAGAUGUGCCCAGCUGGGAUUGGCUAGUCGGUGGGGUAAUGGCUCACCUGGGCGACGAUCCCGAGCUGGUCUGAGAGGAUGACCCGCCACACUGGAACUGAGGAACUGUGCAGACUCCGUAGUGAGGCAGCAGUGGUGAAUAUUGGACGAGUGGCGCAGGCCUGAUGCAGCCAUGCCGCGUGUGUGAAGAAGGCCUUCUGGUUGUAAAGCACUUGCAGCGGGGAGGCGUUACCCGCAGAAGAAGCACCGGCUAACUCCGUGCCAGCAGCCGCGGUAAUAC